rnacentral:lncRNA from 12 species
GUGUCUGCCUUCGACUUGGGUCGUGAUCCCAGGGUCCUUGGAUCGAGUCCUGCAUGGGGUUUCCUGCUUAGUGGGGAGCCUGCUUCUCCCUCUGCCUCUGCCACUCGCCCUGCUUGUGCUCAUUCUCUCUCUGUGUGUCAAAUAAAAUCCUUUAAAAAAAAAAAAGACAGAAAUCUCUCUAGAAAGGCUGGGGUGUGGGAGUUCCUCCUCUUCCCUUCUAGGUUCUUCCUUCCUCCUACGUCUUCUCUUCCUUUUCCUACUUCUCUUUCUCCUUCCCCUCCUCCAACCCUCUUCCUCUUCUCUUUCAGAAUUUACCAACAGCAACUCCAUGCUAGACAUCAUGCCAGACACUGGGCUGCAAAGACGAUUUCAGGUUGUGAGCACUUAGAAAUGUAUGCAGGCUGCAGGCAACAGAGAAUCCAACUCCAGCUACCAGGGAGUUUGCAAAGGCAAGUAUUUGUAGUCGAUGAUACACCCCUAAACAAAGCUGGGGUAUUGCUGGCAAGGAAGAAACAGAGAUUUGGAUUGGGUAAGAAACUAGCAGAGUCUGUUGAAGUGAAUGAGUCAAGGAAAGAAAAGACAAAAUCAUUCCUACAGUUUUCUAUUCAAUCCCUCUCUCCCACUGUCUUUCCUCGGUACCUUAAAAAACAGUGGUGAGCUGGUCAAUAUUUCACACGUGGCUCUCUGGAGGGACAAGUUUGAUUUCUAAUUUUUGCCAGUUUCU